AGGAGACUACAGGAGAGGAGAUAACAGGAGAGGAGAUAACAGGAGAGAUUCCUACAGGAGCAGUACCUCAGGGAGCAGGAGAAACUGAAAGGGGAGUGGGAGAGAGCGCAGAGAGAGGUGGACGAGGAAGAACGAAGACACAAGGAAGAGGAGAAGAAGAUCCUGGAGGAGACGGCAACGGCCCUUUCUCAUCCAACUCCCACAGAGCUCGUUGUUCAGACAGAAGUGAUCGUUCCGGCACAACAGAUCUAUGCAUCAUGGGACUGUGAGUCAUCCAGGGGUCAGGAGACGUCUCUGGACCGCAACCAGCCCUGCGCCGUCAAGAGGU